rnacentral:RNase_P_RNA from 2 species
GGGAGCCAGGCAGAGGGCCACGGGAAACUGAGGAAACUCCAGCCUCUAGGCCAGGGGGAGUCCCAUGAGGGACGGGGGUAGUGCCUCCGACCACUGCACAGAAACGAGACCUCGUCAGGUUCAGAUGAAUAGGAACCGAUGGUUCCUCCGGUGACGGGGGAACUUGGCGAGAGAGCCUGACGGGGUUGAAACGGCAGAUCUCCCCUUGAGCAAGUCAGAGGAACCGUGAUGGGGCCGAGAGUUCCUCUAAGUACGCUAAGCGGAAUCCCUCAUAUACAGAAGCUGGGUUAUUGCCUUGGCUCCC